AGCGAACCGGGAGAACUGAAACAUCUAAGUACCCCGAGGAAAAGAAAUCAACCGAGAUUCCGUAAGUAGUGGCGAGCGAACACGGAACAGCCUGCAUGUGAUAACAGUCGUGUUAGGAGAACAACCUGGAAAGGUUGGCCAUAGUGGGUGAUAGCCCCGUAUCCGAAAACACAAUUGUGGUACUAAGCAUGCGACAAGUAAGGCGGGACACGUGAAAUCCUGUCCGAAGAUGGGGGGGACCAUCCUCCAAGGCUAAAUACUCAUCAUCGACCGAUAGUGAACCAGUACCGUGAGGGAAAGGCGAAAAGAACCCCGGGAGGGGAGUGAAACAGUACCUGAAACCGGACGCCUACAAGCAGUCGGAGGGGCCUUGAGCCCCUGACGGCGUACCUUUUGUAUAAUGGGUCAACGACUUGGUCUAACGAGCGAGCUUAAGCCGAUAGGUGGAGGCGCAGCGAAAGCGAGUCUUAAAAGGGACGCAUGAGUUCGUUGGAUCAGACCCGAAACCAGGUAGAUCUAGCCAUGAGCAGGAUGAAGGUUGGGUAAC
rnacentral:rRNA from 1 species